rnacentral:rRNA from 1 species
GACGUAGGGCGCGAGCGUUGUCCGGAUUUAUUGGGCGUAAAGAGCUCGUAGGCGGCUUGUCGCGUCGACUGUGAAAACCCGCGGCUCAACUGCGGGCCUGCAGCCGAUACGGGCAGGCUAGAGUUCGGUAGGGGAGACUGGAAUUCCUGGUGUAGCGGUGAAAUGCGCAGAUAUCAGGAGGAACACCGGUGGCGAAGGCGGCAUCCUGGACCAACACUGACACUGAGGAGCGAAAGCCAGGGGAGCAAACGGG